AUUUAAAUAGCUUAAAUUAAAGCUUAACAUUGAAGAUGUUAUUAUGAUAAUUAUAUCUUUAAAUA
rnacentral:tRNA from 1 species